UACGUAGGGGGCAAGCGUUGUCCGGAAUCAUUGGGCGUAAAGCGCGUGUAGGCGGUCCGAUAAGUCGGCUGUGAAAGUCCAGGGCUCAACCCUGGGAUGCCGGUCGAUACUGUCGGACUAGAGUUCGGAAGAGGCGAGUGGAAUUCCCGGUGUAGCGGUGAAAUGCGCAGAUAUCGGGAGGAACACCAAUGGCGAAGGCAGCUCGCUGGGCCGACACUGACGCUCAUGCACGAAAGCGUGGGGAGCAAACAGG
rnacentral:rRNA from 1 species